rnacentral:rRNA from 1 species
GAUCAUAGCUCAGGACGAACGCUGGCGGCGCGCCUAACACAUGCAAGUCGAACGAGAGAUGAGGAGCUUGCUCUUCAAAUCGAGUGGCGAACGGGUGAGUAACGCGUGAGGAACCUGCCUCAAAGAGGGGGACAACAGUUGGAAACGACUGCUAAUACCGCAUAAGCCCACGGCUCGGCAUCGAGCAGAGGGAAAAGGAGCGAUCCGCUUUGAGAUGGCCUCGCGUCCGAUUAG